rnacentral:sRNA from 2 species
UCGCGCGUGCCUGACAUUAAAUCUCCUAUCAUUUGAAGCUUUCGACAACACAACCCCCGUCUCUUGGACAAAUUAAGCGCCUCAUUUAACGCAAAAUCAGGUUUGGGUAAUAAAUAUACCUUAAUCCGAAUCACAGCAGGACAAAACUGACGCACUCCACCAUCCACGUCUCGUGUGGUGAACUGCCAUGCCUAUAUCGCUUUCAUACUGACAGGUUUGGGAGCCGGACUCGCAGAUGGAAUGACAAUGACCUUCAAACUGAAUGGGAUUUAUGGAUGCGCUUUAACGUUCCUCAGCUUAUCCGUAAUAUGAGCGGAAGAACUUAAAUAAUGAUAGGACGCUUUGUCUGCUACAAAGCAGUAGUUCAAUGCGAUGAUCUUUUCCCCUUCUCUCAUACUAGACUGCGGAUCCCGUUUCGUUGUGGAAAUUUUUAAGGGACCAGAAUCUUUCAU